UCCUCUUCAAUGAGAUCACUUUUGGCCUGC
rnacentral:sRNA from 1 species